CGCCAUACAAUGCAGAUUUUGAUGGGGAUGAAAUGAAUAUGCAUGUUCCCCAGUCAUUUGAAACCAGAGCUGAGGUUUUAGAGUUGAUGAUGGUGCCAAAGUGUAUUGUCUCACCUCAAGCGAAUAGACCUGUUAUGGGUAUUGUCCAAGACACACUUCUUGGCUGUCGAAAAAUUACCAAAAGGGAUACUCUCAUCGAAAAGGAUGUAUUCAUGAACAUCUUAAUGUAGUGGGAAGAUUUUGAUUGGAAGGUCCCUGCCCCUGCUAUUUUGAAACCAAGGCCAAUUUGGACUGGCAAACAAGUUUUCAACUUGAUUAUCCCCAAGCAAAUCAAUUUAAUUAGAUUUUCAGCCUGGCAUGACGCUGAUGCUGAAAAAGAACAUACAAUUGCCCACUAGACAUACUUUGCUAAUGGUACGUAAAGAAGAGAUGAUCAGUUGAGCACCAAUCACAUGGAGAAUUUAUUUAUUUUUUAUUUUGCUUCAGCAGAGAAUGCAUUUAUUUAAUCAUUUAACAUAAGAAAUACCUUUAGUAGUAUUCUGUAUUCAAAAUAUCUAGCCGAGUCUGAGGAGGACGUGGCGCUUGCCGUCGCCCAGGCCCAGGCGCUCUCCAGCGGACAGGGACCGCCCAAGCAGCAGGCCCCUGCUCUUUCCGAUGCUGCCGAUUCGGACUAAUUGGGUUCCCUACCACCAUCCCUGGCCGGAAGCAAGAUGUGAGGAUGAGGGGACAGAAGCAAGAUGUGAGGAUCAGGGGACGCUAUGUCGCCUCCAUCUGUGGCCUUCUUCUUGGCAUGUACUGGUUGUACAUGCUCUGCUUCCUUUACUCCCACCUUUCGGCCUCGACGCCUCUGCAUAUUUCUCCAUCACUCUCUUGCAGGUAUCUACUUCCUCAACAAGUGAGCAUGCCUGCAUUUAUCACUUGUGCAUACGAAACAUAAAGGCACAUACAAACCCCCUGCUCAGGAGCUCCUCCGCUCCAGGAGUAUAAGCAUGACUACAAACAGGAGUAGUUAAUUUUACUGUAUAGCAAAUUAAGGGUUCUUUGAAGGAGAUAAGUUCAAAGGCAACUGGUGUGACAUAUACCAUCACUGGUGUUAUAGAGGAAGUUGCUGACACCAAGCUUAAAAUAACUGAGCUUCCUGUCCGCCGCUGGACUACAGAUUACAAAGAGUUUCUUGAAUCCAUGUGUCCUAUUCCUAUCAAGGAAAAGGAAAAGAGCAAGCACAAGAACAAGGAAAAGAAGAAGGACAAGGAAAAGGAAAAG